CCUACGGGCGGCUGCAGUGGGGAAUAUUGGACAAUGGGCGAAAGCCUGAUCCAGCCAUGCCGCGUGUGUGAAGAAGGCCUUCGGGUUGUAAAGCACUUUCAGUGGGGAAGAAAGCCUUGGGGCUAAUACCCUCGAGGAAGGACAUCACCCACAGAAGAAGCACCGGCUAACUCCGUGCCAGCAGCCGCGGUAAUACGGAGGGUGCGAGCGUUAAUCGGAAUUACUGGGCGUAAAGCGCGCGUAGGCGGUCUGAUAAGCCGGUUGUGAAAGCCCCGGGCUCAACCUGGGAACGGCAUCCGGAACUGGCAGGCUAGAGUGCAGGAGAGGAAGGUAGAAUUCCCGGUGUAGCGGUGAAAUGCGUAGAUAUCGGGAGGAAUACCAGUGGCGAAGGCGGCCUUCUGGACUGACACUGACGCUGAGGUGCGAAAGCGUGGGUAGCAAACAGGAUUAGAUACCCGAGUAGUC
rnacentral:rRNA from 1 species